rnacentral:SRP_RNA from 1 species
GCUGGGCGCAGUGGCGCAUGCCUGUAGUUCCAGCUACUCGGGAGGCUGAGGUGGGAGGAUCGCUUGAGCCCAGGAGUUCUGGGCUAUAAGUGCACUAUGUUGAUCAGGUGUCUGCACUAAGUUCGGCAUCAUUAUGGUGACCUCCCAGAAGCGGGGUACCACCAGGUUGCCUAAGGAGAGGUGAACCGGCCUAGGUCAGAAAUGGAGCAGGUCAAAACUCCCAUGCCGAUCAGUAGUGGGAUCGUGCCUGUGAAUAGCCACUGCACUCCACCCUGGGCAACACAGCAAGACCCUGUCUUU